AACAGUUAAACAUGAGUAUCUGACUCUUUGUUGUGAAACAGGAUAUAAGACAUGGCAUUAGAAAUUAUAAGUAAUAGCAUGAGGGAAAACAAACCAAACAACAAACCCAAACACAUUACUUUCUUACUAUUUUCAUAUGCUUCUGUGGUACAAGAAAAUAGUUCACAAUAUAAGAAACACAUAAUAAGUAUGCCAUAAUUUACAUCAUGGUAUUUUACACUGCAGAGCUAUUUUGUGAAACUUUACAGCUUUAUAUAAUGAUCCAGUAAGUCAGAAAUGUAACUUAAUAUUACAUAAACAGUAAUUAUAUACAACAUGCAAAUAUCAUCUAGCUAUAGGAAGUGCCAGAUAGCAGCAACACGAAGUAGCAAAAAUAUAUAAACACACAAAGCUGUCUAAAUUUUUGAGGUUUCAUAUGCUGAACCUCAGCGAGAAUGAGAUCGCAGCUAAUCAAGUCAAAGGCACAGAUAUUCCUAAAACGUUUCAACAUGCUGAUUUCAGCAUCUAAAAAAUCCAAAGCCUUCUCUCUGCAGAAAAGCAAAACUUUUAGUGCACAUGCUAAAUACAUUGAUCCUACUUGUCGCAUAACUGAUGCAACUAUUCAAAAGCAAUUACAUACCUGCUAUCUGACUGAAAGUCAAUGGCACUUAUAUGUGUCCCUAAAUAGCUUCUCUGGAGCUCAGUUUCAGUCACCAGAAAAAAACACAAAGAAAAUGUAUGUGCAUACAGUCACAAAACAACUCUUAUGCUACUCGUUUGUAUACUAUUUUUUAAAAGCAUUUCAUUUCAACAAUAUUUUUAAACAUAUGCCAUAUGACUGGUGAUCCGGCUUCCCCAGUUCACAUUGCAGCCCAUAAAAGCUUUCAAGGAGAACAUGUGUCCCACCAUCCAUUCAUUCUUAGUCAUUCUGACACGUAAGACUCGAUUGCAAAUCUUUUGCCAAAAAAUGAAGGUCAUUCAGGAAAGUCUUUUUUUGUCUUUUUUUGAUUCCCACAGGACUACUUCCCUCCAGACAAAAUGAAGCAGAGAGAUGAGUAAACCAAUGAUCUAUUUCUGAAAGUGUUUAUGUGAAGAACUGUUAUUGAUAAACUUGAAAUUUCACUGGUGAAGAGCCUAGGGCCUGCAGUAUGGCUGAGCAUGGGACUGUCCCAGCAUUUGCUGGAAUAAAGGACGAGCCCCUGGGCAGUGCUCUGGGGCAGGGAAACCUGAGGUUUAGCCACCGGCUGGCACCAGUUUCAGGGCACUGUGCAGAAGAGUCAAAGCAGCAAAGAAGGCCAGAAGAGAAGAUGGCAGGCCAUAAGGAUGAAAUCAAGGUAGAAACAAAAAGUCAAGUGGCUCUCUGGAAACUGCAGAAAUGGAUGUAUUGGGCAUUAUCAAAAAAACCUCACACAGAACUCUUGUGAGACCAGUUAGGGGGCUCUGAAUUAGAUGGGGAAAGGGCGGUUGUUUGUUUUUUAUCUUUUAACUGACUUCAAAGCAAACCGAAAAGUUUGGAAAAAAACCAGAAGGUCUCUAGUAUGGACUUUUGUUCAGAAAAAAUCUACAAUAAAACUCUAUUGUAUUCAUCCUCCAA